GCGGGGGUGUCCGAGCGGUCAAAGGAGGCAGGCUUAGGACCUGCUGGCAUAGGCCUGCGCGGGUUCGAACCCCGCCCCCCGCA
rnacentral:tRNA from 1 species